GCGGAGAUGAGGAGAGAAGUUUGCCUGCGGCGCAGUCCACUGAACAUUUACUGUAUUUCAUUUUGGGAACAGCAAAAAAAAAGAGCCUGCGGAGAAGCUUUCCAGGGAAUGCUGAGGAAUAUCCGCCUGCACAGAAAACACUUCUCACAGCCGACUUUUCCCCCCCCCUCUUCUUUAAAACAAGUUACAUUUUAGUCAUCGUCGGUGUCGCUAAACAAGUGGGAAGCCCGGGUCAGUGAGACAGCGGCCGGACGCGAGGGGGCUUUUAAUAUUUGGGGUCCUGGAGCAGAAGGAAGGAGCCUCACAGAAACGAAGGACGAAAGAAAAAGAAAAAGAAGAAGAUAGUCCACGUGAAGGCGAGAAAAGAGCCCGACUCAGAAUGAAUAACAACAAAAUCGAGAAAGAAAACGAGCAGAGUGAAUUCACCAACCACGAAGAGGAGGUCCGAACACUAUUUGUCAGCGGGCUUCCACUGGAUAUUAAGCCGCGGGAGCUCUAUCUCCUGUUCAGACCAUUUAAGGGCUAUGAAGGCUCCUUGAUAAAACUCACCUCAAAACAGCCGGUGGGGUUUGUCAGCUUUGACAGUCGAUCAGAGGCGGAGGCUGCUAAGAAUGCCUUGAACGGCGUCCGGUUUGAUCCAGAGAUCCCUCAGACCCUGCGGCUGGAGUUUGCCAAGGCCAACACCAAGAUGGCCAAAAACAAGCUGGUUGGCACCCCCAACCCCCCGCCCUCCCAGCAGAGCCCCGGGCCACAGUUCAUUGGCAGAGACCCAUAUGAACUCACAGUGCCUGCUCUAUAUCCCAGCAGCCCAGAUGUGUGGGCGUCUUACCCACUGUACCCGGCGGAGCUGUCGCCGGCCCUCCCACCCGCUUUCACCUACCCCUCCUCGCUCCACGCUCAGAUUCGUUGGCUCCCACCUGCAGAUGGAACUCCUCAGGGAUGGAAGUCCAGGCAGUUCUGCUGAAGUUCCUGAUGUGUGAUGGUGGCCGUGGCCGGCUGUGAUGGGCGUUUGCUGAUUGCCUCUCGUGUCCAAUUAGAAAUCAGGAGGACGGCGCUGACUCUGGCUCUCAGAGCAGCAUACCGUCGGCAGCAGCAGCCUCAUGGGCCUCAGGACAUACCAGACCCCAGCCUCCAUCACACAUCGAGCACCCCUACCCUCCCCCCAAAAGUCCCUCCAACUCUUUUUAUACUGUUACAUACUCCAGAUUUUCCUGCAGCGCUUUGGCCACACCUCCUCUGACACCUUAAAGGUACCAAAGGCGCACACACCCUUUGUGACUGCAUCCCCUGGCCAACGGUAGCAGGCCUCUUGCUGUGCAUUCUGUGUAUGUAAGUGUGAUGACGAUUCAUGCAGGAACUUUGCAAGGCCAGAUUUCUGGAAGUGUCGCCAAAGCGCUGCUGGGUAAUGUUAUUAUAUAACUAUAAUUAUUACUAUUCUGUAUAUCAUUCAUAUUAAUGUUAUUAUGAUUAUUAAAUACAUGUUGAAGCAUGACUUUGCAACAAAAAAAAGAUGGAAAAAAAAAACAAUGUUGUACAUUUUUAGAUAUUUUAAAGAAAUACAAAAAAGUAUUUUUGUAAUCAAGACAAUGUUUGAAACGUUUGAUUGGUUCAUGUUGUGUGAGAAACUUUCAUAUGUUUUAUUCUUUUUUUUCGUGCCAUUGUAGAAUGGAAAGUUUCCCUGCUAUACCAAAGCAGCCCUGUUGGUUUUUUCUUGUCUUCACUACAUACUUUGUGUCUUUGUGCGGCGUCCUUCCCUGAAGAAGUCAACAUUAAGUCCUUUGUGGGAUGCGCAAAUUGUCACCUGAUCCAGCUCCUCAUUUUUUCAGUUUUCAGAUAAUCAGUUGGGUUUAAAAAAAAAAAGAAAAGAAAAGAAAGAGGCAUUGACGGGGAAUAAGCCAUCACAAGUGAAGGUAGAGUGACCGUGGAGACUGCAAAACACAGCAACCUGAGCCCUGCUAUAAUAAGGAAUCUGCCUCUUCAUUGUUCAGCAAGAGGACAGCAGUAUAGAGAAACAAAAGACCAAAGGCAUUUUUUUUUACACUGGAGAGCUAUCUAGGCUAGUGGAAUUAUUCUGUUUUUGACUGCUUUGUACUCCUCAAUCUGAUUUCUUAUGAAGUAUGACAUAUUUUUUUUUGCCGCACGUCUCUUUUGGUGUCACUCCAAAGAGCCACUCUGCAUCUGAAAGGAGAUUCACUUAAAGCAAUUUGUCUCUUCUGUCUAUUUUUAGGGAGCCAACCUGCUUUUUGUAAAAAAUUGAAUUUGCAUAACAAUGAUUGGAACGAUCAAAAAGAAAAAAAACUCAUCUUUUGUAAUCUUGCGUCCUCUGGGCCUGCAAUAACGUUUUCGCUGUUUGACAUAUCAUGGAGUGAUCAUAUUUCUGUGACAUUUUGACGCCAAAACUUCUCAUUCAUGUCUCAUUGUCACGAAAACAAAGAGUGAUUCUUGUACUUUUUCUGAUGAGGCUAAGUCACAUUUCAACGGUGAUGUGACAAUCAAAAACCGAAUCACUGCUAUAAAAACAAUUCUUUGUGUAAUCUCUAGCCCAGGUGUGUACAAUCAUGGUGGAGCGGUUGAAUCAUAUAAUCAGUGUUUGUAAUGAUUAAUAUGAAUUAUAUGCACAUAAUAGCAAUUGAUUUUUCUGAAGCAGUUUUUGCUUUUGCAGACAUUUUUUGAAAGCCAAGUGUGGCACCAAAUUUAUUAGAACAAGUAUUUAUAAGGUGUGUGUGUGUGUGUGCGUGUGUGUUUUUAUGGGUACUAUGUUUUUAAAGUUAAUAGAAGAUGCCCAUUAUAUAAUUCAUUGUAAGUAUUAUUGUAAGUUUAAUUGUAUAUUCCUUUGGUAAUUUUCUAGAGCUCCUUUAUGUGUUUGUAUCUGAUAUAUGAAACAUGUUUUACCUACAUAAUUCACUGUGAAAUCCAGAGAAAAACACGCUCUUUGAACAAAUGGAUCUUUCUGUGUGUCGCCAGCAGUACGGUACAGACGUUUCUGGAAAAAUUAAUAUGAUGAUCCCUCCCUUCGGUCAGUGAGAAGACUUCCUUCCCUGUUUCAGUAUAUCAUGUGCGUACCUGUGUGUUCUGUGCAUGUUCACGGCAUGUGUGUUCUUUUCUUUCUUUUUUUCUUAAUGCAUAAAGUACUGUUGAUAUUUAUGUACUUUAACCACUGUGAGGAGAAACUGUAUUUCAGUGAAUUGCAGAGGUUUGUUUGUUUGAAACCAAAAAAAAAGUGAUCAAAAUGAGAAGUUUUUAUGAAAAUGUUAAAUGAAGACAUUUCAGGCCAUCUGCCAUUAAAGAUUGACAUCAAC